rnacentral:lncRNA from 1 species
CUAAAUUCAACUAAUAUCUCCUCCUCCUGAGCAGGAAGUCAAGCAUGUCUCAAUCUCCUGUACAUGGCAUCACUCUUUAUUUUCUGUCAAUCACUUUUGCAUGUUAUGGGUCUUCUAUUUAUGUAUUGACUUCUUAUUUUAGUUUCUCUCUCGUCUUCUUUCUUUCCCAUUCCACUGAAAUUGAUCCCAAAUCCACAAUUUUCUUGGAAAAAAAUGAGUGGCUCAUACUCAAGAAUCAGACACGUCAGUAAAACCAGAUCAAAAUCUAUAGAUCUUUCUGAUCUUUCUUUCCCAUCGUAUACACCAAGAUCCAAUGCUAAAAACACCCCGAAAUCCAUGGAAAUAAAACAAAAGAGCCCUAAAAACAAUCCCAGAAUGCCGGAUUCAAUAGCCGAACACAAAAUUGAGGAUGGCAUAGGAGAGAUUUUUGGAGAAAUAUUGAAGAGAAAAUGCUCUGUCCCUUCCCAUAGGGACAUGACUGAGAAAUCAUAUGUUCAAACAGCGGUGAAGAGGUCUUUUUUUUUAAAGAAAUCUUCUUCAGUGUCUGAAGGGUAUAGUAGAAUCCAUCAACAGACUGAUUUAACUGCUGAUCAUGAUGAUGAUGAACACUUGAAGAACUCAAAUUCACUGGCAAAACCCAAGAAGAAAGGCAAGAUUCUUCAAGCUUGUAGGCGUUUAUUUGGAUUUUAGAUGAAUUACAUUUGUUUCGAGGCUUGUUGGGGCUGAAUCUAUUUCAGGGUUAACUAUAUUAAUAUAAUGAUUGUACCUCGUUCGGAUCAGGUUCAUUACUAGGUUCACCUGUAAGAUCUAUAGUAAUUGGAUAUUUUUCAAGUAGAUUAGUUGCACUAUGAAUAUUACCUACUACAAAUUUAGAUUCUUUGAAGAUUGUAAACAUUUAUUUGGAUUUUAGAUGAAUUACUUUAGUUUCUAUUUAUAUAAGUUGUGACAAUGAUGACAACAAACAAAUUUAUUUUUGUUCUCAAUAAAUUUUUAAUAAGUUGCA